rnacentral:rRNA from 1 species
ACUCCUACGGGAGGCAGCAGUGGGGAGCUUUGCGCAAUGGGCGAAAGCCUGACGCAGCAACGCCGCGUGAGUGAUGAAGGCUUUCGGGUCGUAAAGCUCUGUCGAGGGGAAAGAAGUGUAUUGUGGUUAAUACCCGCGAUACUUGACGGUACCCCUAAAGGAAGCACCGGCUAACUCCGUGCCAGCAGCCGCGGUAAUACGGGGGGUGCAAGCGUUGUUCGGAAUUAUUGGGCGUAAAGAGCGUGUAGGCGGUUUGUUAAGUCUGAUGUGAAAGCCCUGGGCUCAACCCAGGAAGUGCAUUGGAAACUGUCAGACUUGAAUACGGGAGAGGGCAGUGGAAUUCCUAGUGUAGGAGUGAAAUCCGUAGAUAUUAGGAGGAACACCGGUGGCGAAGGCGGCUGCCUGGACCGAUAUUGACGCUGAGACACGAAAGCGUGGGUAGCAAACAGGAUUAGAUACCCUGGUAGUCCACGCCGUGAACGAUGAGAACUAKGUGUUGCGGGUAUUGACCCCUGCAGUGCCGCAKCUAACGCAUUAAGUUCUCCGCCUGGGAAGUACGGUCGCAAGACUAAAACUCAAAUGAAUUGACGG